rnacentral:rRNA from 1 species
CAGGUACANCGGGAAGCCAGGCGGCGACGCCGAGCGGAACCCGAAAACCUGUCUCAGUUCGGAUCGGAGUCUGCAACCCGACUCCGUGAAGCUGGAUUCGCUAGUAAUCGCGCAUCAGCCAUGGCGCGGUGAAUACGUUCCCGGGCCUUGUACACACCGCCCGUCACACCAUGGGAGUCGGUAACACCCGAAGUCGGUAGCCUAACCGUAAGGAGGGCGCCGCCGAAGGUGGGAUUGAUGACUGGGGUGAAGUCGUAACAAGGUAAC